rnacentral:rRNA from 1 species
GAUGAACGCUGACAGCAUGCUUAACACAUGCAAGUCAACUUGAACUUCGGUUUGUGUGGCGGACGGGUGAGUCACGCGUAAAGAACUUGCCUCACAGCUAGGGACAACAUUUGGAAACGAAUGCUAAUACCUGAUAUUAUGAUUAUAUGGCAUCGUAUAAUUAUGAAAGCUAUAUGCGCUGUGAGAGAGCUUUGCGUCCCAUUAGCUAGUUGGAGAGGUAACAGCUCACCAAGGCGAUGAUGGGUAGCCGGCCUGAGAGGGUGAUCGGCCACAAGGGGACGGAGACACGGCCCUUACUCCAACGGGAGGAAGCAGUGGGGAAUAUUGGACAAUGGACCGAGAGUCUGAUCCAGCAAUUCUGUGUGCACGAUGAAGUUUUUCGGAAUGUAAAGUGCUUUCAGUUGAGAAGAAAAAAAUGACGGUACCAACAGAAGAAGUGACGGCUAAAUACGUG